UUUAGAGUCCGAGUUGUAAUUUGCAGAGGGCGCUUUGGCUUUGGCAGCGGUCCAAGUUCCUUGGAACAGGACGUCACAGAGGGUGAGAAUCCCGUACGUGGUCGCUGGCUAUUGCCGUGUAAAGCCCCUUCGACGAGUCGAGUUGUUUGGGAAUGCAGCUCUAAAUGGGAGGUACAUUUCUUCUAAAGCUAAAUAUUGGCCAGAGACCGAUAGCGCACAAGUAGAGUGAUCGAAAGAUGAAAAGCACUUUGGAAAGAGAGUCAAACAGCACGUGAAAUUGUUAAAAGGGAAGCGCUUGCAGCCAGACUUGCUUACAGUUGCUCAUCCGGGCUUUUGCCCGGUGCACUCUUCUGUAGGCAGGCCAGCAUCAGUUUGGGCGGUAGGAUAAAGGUCUCUGUCACGUACCUCCUUUCGGGGAGGCCUUAUAGGGGAGACGACAUACUACCAGCCUGGACUGAGGUCCGCGCAUCUGCUAGGAUGCUGGCGUAAUGGCUGUAAGCGGCCCGUCUUGAAACACGGACCAAGGAGUCUAACAUCUAUGCGAGUGUUUGGGUGUCAAGCCCGAGCGCGUAAUGAAAGUGAACGGAGGUGGGAACCCGCAAGGGUGCACCAUCGACCGAUCCUGAUGUCUUCGGAAGGAUUUGAGUAAGAGCAUGGCUGUUGGGACCCGAAAGAUGGUGAACUAUGCUUGAAUAGGGUGAAGCCAGAGGAAACUCUGGUGGAGGCUCGCAGCGGUUCUGACGUGCAAAUCGAUCGUCAAAUUUGGGCAUAGGG
rnacentral:rRNA from 1 species